rnacentral:lncRNA from 1 species
AGGAGCUACAAGUUAGAUUGCCUGAUAAACGUUUCAAAUUUCCUCGUCACCACCUGAAAUACGAUAUUAAUAACCAAUUUAUCCUCUAUCUAAUCAAGAAACCUUAAUAUCUAAUGAUAGAACUUAAUUUAAAUUCUCUUGACACUUGAAUAACUUCUCAAAUUUUCUUUUAUUAAUUGGAGCAAAUCACACUUUAUAAUCCCUUGAAUAAUAACUAAUUAUCAACAUAACCUUCUUUCCAAGUUUAAAACUAAUUUUACUCUCUAAUCAAGUGAAACUAGUAACCAUAAUUCCACCCAUUUAAUAUACAUUUUGUUCCAUAAAAUCAACUCCCAAGUGAAAUAUUCCAUUUAUAUAAUCAUUUCCACAAUUAAUUAAUCAAAAUCCCAAAAUCGGAUUCUAGGGUUUCCUAAAAAAAAAAUUGACAUCUCCUUACCUUAAUGUAGAUAGAAAUUCAAGAAUCAAUAACUUGAGCUCCAAAUAGUAUUCAUCUCAACAAAUCUGAAAAUUUCGAGCCAAAAUAAAACCCUAGAAUUUUAACAUAAAAUUUAUCUACCUCUUGAAGAAAAUAAAGAGAAAGGAAAAAUGGAAAUAGAUCUCGAACUACCUCUUUCCUUUCUUCUUCUUCUUCCUUUUUCCUUUUUCUCCUUCUUUUUCUUCCCUUUCUUUCCCUUUUUCUUUCCUUUUCUCUUUUCUGCCGAAUUCUUCUUCUCUGCCAUUUUUUUUGUAGGUGUUGGUGUGUGUUUUUGGGAGAAAAAGGUGGUCAAAUGUUGAAUAUAAAUUCCACUUACUCAAAAAUUGCAAGGAAAGUCCCCCAACUCCAUUUUUAUAUCACAUUUAAUCCUUAACUUCCAAAAAUAUAUAAGUAAAUUUCCAAUUUUAAAUUGUAUCCAAUUUAACCCUCACAUAUUGCCAAUUGGAGAAUAAACCCCAAUAAAAUAUUUUAGUCAAGUCAAGUC